AGAACGAACGCUGGCGGCAGGCCUCAAACAUGCAAGUCUAGGGGGUGUAGCAAUACAUCACCGGCGGACGGGUGCGUAACACGUGGGAAUAUACCUUUUGGUUCGGAACAACGCAGGGAAACUUGCGCUAAUACCGAAUGUGCCCUUACGGGGAAAGAUUUAUCGCCAAAGGAUUAGCCCGCGUAGGAUUAGCUAGUUGGUGAGGUAAUGGCUCACCAAGGCUCCGAUCCUUAGCUGUUCUGAGAGGAAGAUCAGCCACACUGGGACUGAGACACGGCCCAGACUCCUACGGGAGGCAGCAGUUGGGAAUCUUGGACAAUGGGGGAAACCCUGAUCCAGCCAUGCCGCGUGAGUGAUGAAGGCCUUCGGGUUGUAAACUCUUUCGACGGGGACGAUAAUGACGGUACCCGUAGAAGAAGCUCGGCUAACUUCGCGCCAGCAGCCGC
rnacentral:rRNA from 1 species